UAUUUGGUACAUUUGCAACAUAAUCUCAAAUAACUGAAACAAGAGUUGAUGGUCAUGGUCAUAGGUGUAGUUGUGGCUAUGAUAUUGUUUAUGUUUUGAAAAUAAUGAAGUCUAGUGCUUAAGCUCGAUGGCCUUGAAUUUAACUGUUCUUGUAUUGGACAUCCUGAGGAACCCGAAGAACUGCUUAACCUUUUUUAACUAGUAGUGGCUUCAUCAGGUUUAUUUUAGCUGCCAAAACGAAUAGUGUUGGUUUUGAAGUGCAUAACAUGCUUUCUAUGACAUAUUAAGGUACAUUGAUGUGCACCUUUUCUUUAAAAGUCCUUGUUUGCAAACAAGCUAUUAAGGGAAAACCUUAGAUAUUUUCUAGAUUAUACUUCUUAACAUUGUGCAACUUCAUGACAAAUACUAAUUGCGACGAUUGAUUUUCCUUAAUGCAUCAAGAUUCCUGUAUCAAGACGUAGCCAUGCAAUUCAUAUUUCUUCUUUUGUUAAGGAUCAUCAUCCCUUUAUUCUUUACUUCAACCUAAUUUGCUUCACCAACUCAUGAUUGAUAACUCUCUCU
rnacentral:lncRNA from 1 species